rnacentral:lncRNA from 1 species
AACUUCAGAACAGCCUGGACACAUCAGCAGUGAUCGGUCAAGUGCCAACAGUUGAUGAAGGAUCAGCAUCAUCUCGCGGGAUAUUUGGGAGUUAUGUGGCACCCUCUUUGUAUAUUUCAGAGACAACUAGCAGCUUUCCUUCCAACCAAAAUAUUCAUGCUAAAGCUGAUCCAGUUGCAGUUGUCCCAGACCUCACAUCAACCAGGAUACAAACAGUGAAAAGCCCAGUUGCCUGUACUUCCGGGGUUACUCAUCUGCAGCAACGCAACAUUACCACAAAAACUUGUCAGUUCCAGGGAUGUGGAAAAGGAGCAAGAGGCGUUUCUGGACUAUGCAUAGCCCAUGGUGGGGGACGAAGAUGCCAGAGACCUGGCUGUCACAAGGGAGCUGAGGGUAGGACCAUCUUUUGCAAGGCCCAUGGAGGUGGUUGGCGAUGCCAACACCUUGGCUCCACGAAGAGUGCCGAUGAAGGCUGCACUGAUUAUUGCAUUGCUCAUGGCUCAACAACUGCUUGCACCAUGUCUUCGGUGAAGGAGACUGAUGAGGAAUCCUCAGCCGAUCUGGGUUUGAAUUUUCAGCUUCAUCUUGGCGAUGAGAAUAUGCCUAGCCCUAAGAAAUCCUCUGUUGCUGCUCAGGCAUCAGGAAGUGAACUGAUUUAUGACCUCCAGCUAGGUCUAUCAACUGGCCCAUCUGAAUCUGUUAUUACUGGUAUCAGCCCAGUGUCCGAUCAACUUCAGAACAGCCUGGACACAUCAGCAGUGAUUGGUCAAGUGCCAAAAGUUGAUGAAGGAUUAGCAUCAUCUCGCUGGAUAUUUGGGAGUUAUGUGGCACCCUCUUUAUAUAUUUCAGAGACAACUAGCAGCUUUCCUUCCAACCAAAAGAUUCAUGCUAAAGCUGAUCCAGUUGCAGUUGUCCCAGACCUCACAUCAACCAAGAUACAAACAUUGAAAAGCCCAGUUGCCUGUACUUCUGGGGUUACUCAUCUGCAGCAACGCAGCAUUACCACAAAAACUUGUC